ensembl:lncRNA
GACCAGUCAAUCACCUCACCAAAUUGAGCGUGACAAGCAGGCUAGCUUUCAGUCAAUUCAGAGUUAAAUACAGAAAAACACAUUCUGUUUAAAAAGAAUAAUAAUGAUUUCAACUAUUAUGCACUUAGCAUUUUCGAUGAUUUUGGAGUUAGGGUUUUUAUUUUGAGAAAAGGACAUAUCAAGGGAUUUGGAGAAAGAUGGGCUGAUUAGCCAAUGUGUCAUCUGAUGUAGCCAAAAUAGCAAAUUCAAGCCCACAGUUGAAACCUAUCCACCCAGAGCCCCCAGCUGUCUUGUGCUCUGUCCAUCUCCCUCUGGGCAGAACCACCUACUGGAGCUCCAGGCUUUGGUGGCCUGCACCCUGCUGAGGUUGGUGGGCCUGCUGUACUCUGGGAAGAUGGUGGGGGAGGUGGAGAGGCAGGAAGUGACCGCUGCUGCUGCUGUUGCCAGGCUGGGUAUCCAAGGACUGGUGAAGGUCGGAACGAGAGAUGACAAGGAAGAGAGGGAGGUGGGAGAUUUGGUCCAGCAGUCAAGGCAGAGUGGGUCAAAGCUUGGUAGAGGACGACAGACAGAGGGAGGGGCUUUCACAGAGGGACGUGGGUGUGCAGACAGACCCCCUGCAGAGCAGUGAAGCUCAGGCAGUGAGAAAGAUGGGAGGGAGAAGUGAAGAGCAGAAGCUCUCACCAGGAAGCUCAGAGAGAAAGUGAAACCAACUCGGUAUGAAAAAGACUCCAGGACUCAGACCUGUGAGUUAAAGGGGAGUGUGACCGAUACAGGGGACUUCAACGGUGUCUUCUCCCCUGGGCCCAUCUGUCCGUUCUGGACAUCCAGGGAAUGGAGGCCUCUGGUUCUAUUGUCCCUGUUCCCCUCUCCGUACCGCUCCCUCCCUCCUAAUAUUCCUUACACCCCCCUGUCUCACCUGCUAAACUGCCCGCUAGCUGAGAAUCAAACCCCUAACAAUCCCAAUUCUACCAUCCUCAUGCCUUCUGGUGAAUCUGCACCUGUUUACAUCCUCCCCCCAUUCCUCUCAUCCCUCCAUCCACCCCCCCCUGUGUUCCUGUCUGCCAUGAGCAUGUCAACGAGGGGCUCCCUUCACCUCAAAUCCCCCCCAGACAUGAGGGGACGGGGCUACCAGGAGGGGGAGGACUUGGACAAGGGGGAGGGAGAGACAGAGCGGAAUGGUUCUUUUGAGGGAAACCUCGCUGGAUUCAUCAGAUCUCACCCAACCACAGGAGGAGAACCUGAGAGGGAGGG